AGAGUUUGAUCAUGGCUCAGAAUCAACGCUGGCGGCGCGCUUAACACAUGCAAGUCGCACGAGAAAGUGGAGCAAUCCAUGAGUAAAGUGGCGUACGGGUGAGUAACACGUGGAUCAUCUACCUUUUAGUGGGGAAUACCCCCGGGAAACUGGGGACAAUACCGCAUAAGCUCGUAAGAGGAAAGCCGAAAGGCGCUGAAAGAGGAGUCCGCGGCUGAUUAGCUAGUUGGCGGGGUAACGGCCCACCAAGGCGAAGAUCGGUAGCCGGCCUGAGAGGGCACACGGCCACACUGGCACUGAAACACGGGCCAGACUCCUACGGGAGGCAGCAGUGGGGAAUCUUGCACAAUGGAGGAAACUCUGAUGCAGCGACGCCGCGUGAGCGAUGAAGCCCCUCGGGGUGUAAAGCUCUUUCGACGGGAAAGAUAAUGACGGUACCCGAAGAAGAAGCUGCGGCUAACUACGUGCCAGCAGCCGCGGUA
rnacentral:rRNA from 1 species